AGGAAAGUCCGAGACCGAGGACCUAAAGCAAAAGCUUCGGCUAACUUUGUCUUACUAAGCUGUCCAGCGUGAUCGAACCGGCACCGACCGGAAGACAGGAAAGUUCUAAAUCGUUUAAAAAGCCGGUUCUAACCUUUGCUUCCUUUUUUGUUUGUCUCUCGGUCCCAUGUCGGUGUUGAAAUGAUGAAUCGACAGACCAUUCAGUGUGUGCAUGCGUGUCGCACAGCAGGCAUAGUCUGGGAAGUGGAAAAGUUUUUCGCCAUUCCCUUCAAGACGGGUGUUCUUUUGCUCUUUUGGGAUGUCUCGAACUUCAAGCUUGCUGCACCAAAUUUUGAAUCCGGGAUUGGACGAUUAUUGCCUUUUGGAAAAUCCUUCGAGAGAAAGGAAAAAAUCCCGGCAAAAAAAUCUUUUGCACAGACAAAAUGAAGAAUGGUCCUCGAAAUUUGGUCCGUGUUACAAGUGUGUUGGUUUGCUCCAACCAUUCAACUGGUGGGACUCGAUCCGUUCUAGUCCUUUUCAAGCUGGGAAAAGGAAAAAGAGAAAAGGAUUUUUCCUUCCAGGAUUACAAAGAAACAUGAUUAAUACGACGUUAUGCUUCUCUUUGGUGUGCCCCUGUUUUCCCGGGAGCUGUUCCAGCUCAUCGAACACUCCCUCAAAAAAUGGCAGAUGAUUUGAUGAAAAAUUGGGUUGCCAGCUGUGUGCGAGGAAUGCUCCAACUUCGGUUCCCGGCGAUGAAUGCUGCUCCCGGCUGAGGGGUUCCCUGUAAAUAACAUGAAUUGACCACAAAAAAAGGCUCUGGAUGGUGAAAGUCGCGAGUGAAAAAACUAGAAAACCACACACCCGCCAACCGUAUCCGUAUAACUAGUUAAGUAAAGAAAGCAGCAAAAAGAAAGUAAUAAUAUUACAUAUAAAAAACAACAAAGGUCAUCCCCAAGGAAGAUGACACGGAUGAUAGGGUAAAGUUACAACAAAAAAAAAAAACAACAAACAAAUUGUAUAUUUUAGAAACAAAAGGCAAAUCGAAAAGUGAUAUAAACCCAGUUAUUUCCAAUCGGAAAAGACGGCGGAUUUGAACGAAGACGGGACGGGAUGGACGGUGAUUGAAAGAACAAAGCGUUCCUUCUUUCUCCCGGAAAAGCACGUCCCGGUUAAAAGCUUCCGUUCUUUUCCUUGCUCUUACUCUCUCUCUCACACACACAUACACACGCACUCAUGCACACACACACUACCACUCACUCCACACAUACAUCUUUCCGUGCAAUAAUUGCUCUUUAAUCGUUUGCGCUACUUGCUAAGGUAAACGUUCGUACAAAUCUAAAGAAAAAAAAACCCAGUGUCGAGAGAAGAGUAGGUAAAUGAUUUAAAUAAGGUGAACGAUGCCGUACUCCGGGCAUUACGAUUGUAUCUCGUACGAGGAAGACAAAAGUUGUGUAAAUAUUGUUGACCAAAGUAGCUCUCUAGCUUUCUUCAGCUAAGGAAGAAUUCGCACACAAGCACCAUCUCUGUGGUAAUUUGUUUCCGGCGUCCGUUUAACUGACUGCAUAUGUGUGUCUGGGAGUGUGCGUUUGAAGAUAGAGCGAGCUCAUUAAAGAUAAAGCUUUUAAACUGUUUGUUCUUCUGCUGGAAAAUUGCCUCUCUCAAAACUUAGCGUUUUUCCGUCUCCUAGUGCUCGGCAUCAUUCAACAUUCCUACCGGCGUUAAAAAUCCCACAAAAAUGAAAAGCAAUAGCUAGACGAUCCUUAAGAGAGAGGAAGCAACAACACACAUUCGUCCUUUCGAUGACGAUGGUACUUUCCCAACUUCUCCCAGCAGCAUUCCAAUUCCGGGCGUAAAUUAAACAACAAAUCUAACUACCAAUGGGACCAAACGGGGGAAAACCGGUACAGCACACACACACACUCUCAAGCUGUUCUUUGCAUCCUCACCCGCGCCUAAAGUGGACGUGAACGGGAAAAAGUUUUCGGCCCCCAAAAGCCGAUAAAAGCUUGACCCAAAGCUUUUCCCGCAUCAGUGUGUGUGGGUGCGUGUGAUGGAAGGAGCAUGGACAUUUGCAUGUUUAUAACGGGAAAUGAAUUUGUUAUGAAGCUUCCCGCCCCGGAAAACCUCAACCAACGGGCUGCCUCUGCUGGUGGCUACAGUUGCCCGUGGUUUGGAGAUGGGUUGGUGAGCUGUUGGUGAAAAAGUUAACCAUCUCACCACACACAAACACACUCGAAGGCACCGGUGAUAGUGGCUGGAUGGAAACUGAUUGCCUUGGACGCAUCGCUCUGGACGUGUCUGGAUUGGGUUUUCUGCUUCUUUUUUCUUGUGCCGUGAAAUGCAGUUGAAAGACAAACUAGAAAACAUGUUUGUGUUUUGCAAUGUUAAUUUGCAUUUUAAUACGUUUCCAAUGAAACAUGCAACCACGGGGCCGGUUUUUGUUUACAAUCUAAAAACAAUUUUAUUUCGAAAUAUCGUCAUCAUGUUACAGGAAUAGCAUUUUUUGACAUAGGAUUGCAUACAUGUUGGCGUUUCACUAUUGAACUGUGAUUUAAUGGUUAAAUUUUUAAGUUUUACUUAGUUUCAGAGCUCAUCAUCAGAAAGUUAAGUUAAUGCUAAGUUUAUAAAGAUUUUGAGGCUUGGAAAAUGCAGAUUUGCCUUUCCAUGUAAGCUGUCCACUUGGUUUGAAAAGUAUUCAAAUAUCACUUACAGUAUAGAAAUACCACUUUUUGGUACAAUAUUUAUGAGUAAACCGAUAGGAAAAAUUCAUUGAAUGUUAAAAUAAUCCUUAACUCAGAAGAAACAUUUUUCUUCACAUUUGAAAAUGAACGGUUUCACUUCUUAGAGAAAACGCCUGAAUGUAUGCAAUCUGAAUAGAAGUUGCUCACAACCAUGUUCAUCAACACUUUUCUUUGACUACUUUAUCUUACUUUCGAUGGCCAUGUUAUAUUUUUGAUUUUCUUGAAUAAUUUUCGAAAGUUUCUAACAAUUUCUAUUUUCAUAUAUAAUCAUUAAGAGCUUCCUCAUAAAAAUGUUUCUCACUUAAUCAGUUUCGGUAGGCCAUUUCGGUAGCAGAAACUUUUCCUUGUUCAAUCAACCCGUAGCGUUGUAGCUGCUACUCUCCAUGCUCAACAAAUGUCACCUUCCUAAUCGCAAGCCUAGUUGGCCUAGCCUAUCAAAAGAAACACGGUCACACACUUUACUUGCUGCUCAUCCCCUAACCUUUCCGGGCAGGCAUGAUCUUCUCGAUCCAAUCAUACGUCCAAAAGUGGUACUUUCUCACCCUAUCAGCAAUCGUUCAAGCGUUCUCCAGCUACGUGACGCACUUUACUAUGCGUCACUUGCUGUCACGAAGUGUUCCGGCGUCUUUUUUGUUCCUUAUUGAUUCGUUUUUAGCUUCGUCUUUAGUUUUUCCCGUGUCAAGCGUGCAGCACCACCAACACACUGUAUCGAUCCCUUAUCAUUGACACCACCAACUUUUCCGGCAUCGAAAGCUGUCGUUCAUCGUUUUUCACCUCCUUAAUCAAAUUCCACCCAGCUCCAAAGGGGAAGGGAUCCAUGCAGUUUAGCUUUUUUUUCUUUCUUGUCGGCUUCCCUUUUCGUUGUGCGAUCAAAACAUUUCCAAACAACGAAAUUGUCUGUUGUGAAAGAAACAUGGCAACAAAAGUGUACUUUAGUGUUUUUUGAGGCACACCACGAGAGAGAAUAGGGAAAGACAAUAGGAAGGGUGUGUGAGUGGAUAGCCGUAAAGUGGUAAACAUUUCUUACCCCCUAGUACAAGCACGAGGUGAAAAGAAUUGGAAAACUUUUGGUGAUCCACCCGCACACACACACACACGUUCGCAACUACCGCCCAUUGACCUAUUUCAGAGCGGCCUCUUUUGUGGCUGGUCUUUCUUCGAAAACCAGUUGAACGUUCGGAACGGAUCGGAGCUUAAACUUUUAGGACACGCCGGGCCAGAACUCAUUGUAUGUGUGAGUGUGUGCUGUGUUUGUUUUCGAAGGACCUUCAUCGGGGAAGGUGUGUUUUUGUUUCUCUUUUCUUAACUCAUUUUAUUCUGCAUUUUAUAGCAAACAGCUACGAGAAGAGUGUGGGCUGUCGUCUUUCUUACUCGAUGAAAGAAGGAAAAAUGGUAAAAUAAUAAAAGUCUUCGUUUGACGCUUUUUGAGAGGAUCAUAAGAAACCGUACUCUUUUUUGUGUGAGGUGAUUUAAAACUUACGCAUUGUGGAAAAAUUCUUAGUCGGCUAAAGACGUAGUUUUGUAUUCCUCGCGAGAAAAUAAAAAAAAUCAGCAACAACUGCAAACAUAUGGGACACACAAUCAACCCCACUCGGAACAGAGAGACUGGAUGGUGACUCCCGCCGCCACAAACACAAACAAAAGGUGUAAGAAUGUAAGGAAAGAAGUCAACAACAAAAAACUCGAAACCUUACGCUCUCGAAACACGCGUGACACAGAACUCGUUCAGGAGUGGGUAGCAAGCAAGCAAGCGUGCUGACUUUAUGAGCACAAUCAAUGGGCCGGAAAAUUUAUGCAAAUAAGCACUGGCAUCCCCAGCACUUUUCAGUCGUGGUGGUUCACCUUUUUUACUGCCUCUAUUUGUCACCGUGGGGUUGUUUGUUGUUCCUUUUUUUCGUUGAGACACAUCGUACACAGCUGGGGUUGAUGGUUGCACAUAAUCGGCGAGACACAUUUUCCACCCUAGUAUCGGUGCAGAAAGCGGUUUUUGUAUGGUUAAAUGAUUCUGAUAACAUAAAGUGAUAAUUUUUAAAAUGGUUUAACAAAAUCCGCUGUUAAAAGACCCAUGCUGGUUUAUUGGUUUCCAGUACAAAAUCAACUACUAAUGCUGUAAUGGAGACGCCUGGUGCUUUGUGUUAAAGUAGUCAUGUGGUCGUAAAUGACACAACAAGCCAUAUCGGUAUUUUUAAGUGAAAAAGGUUCAUUUAAGUUGAGCUUAUCAGUUUUCAACACAGAAAACCCCCAUGCAGAUUUUCCGCUUUGUUGUGAUAAAAUUGAAAAUCUACCAUAUGAUGGAGACGCCUGGUGCGCCGUUACACUUUCGAUGGAGGCAAUAAUGGUGCUCCACAAUCAAAACGAAAAACAAAAACCACUCCCCUGACACGGCAUAUGAGCAAAAUCAGACACCAUUACGAGCACAAUGCAACAGAUGGAAUGAAUAGCUCAACCAUUGUACGUGCUGGUUGAAUGUUGAACAGCGUGGAAUACACUCGGGAAGGGCCGCUUUUCAUCUUAAUCAUUUCUUUCAAACAGUGCUCUUGACAAACGGCACAAAGCAAAGUUUUGUUUUCUACAGGCAGUCCUUUAACCGCCCUCACUCUUUCGGCACAGAGCAGCGCGAUAAGGACGAACGGAACCUGCUCACUCAAUGCCAAAGUGUUUGCUGAUUGAUUGAGGCCAGACCUAAGAGUAGCAGCUGCUACUGCUGCUGCUGUUGUUGGGUACAAUCAUUUCUGAAUACCUCAGCAGGAAAGAAAUGGCAAUGGUGAUAAUCAUGUGUUAAUGUGGCCCACCUAUGCCUUGCCAGAAGUUACAGCUAGCUAGCUUGAAAGCAGGCAUGGUUUCGACCUCUUUAAGCACGACAGGGUGAACAAGCAGGUGAUUCAUAAUCGGUCAUUUUGAGGGUGUGUGUGUGUCUGUGUGCUGGUAUCAGAUUGAACGUCUGGAGAUAAGUGAUGGCUCUUUUAUUCGUCGUAAUCAUUUCCAGCCAGUGUGUGUGUACCGUGUGUAGUCCUUCUCUUGUGGUUACCCUUCACAUUGCUUCUCAUCUAGCACCUUGAAGAGCACAAUCGACGGCUGUUGGGUCGUUGGUUCAAAACAUCACGCUACAAGUAGCACUACUUCUCACUUUUAUUGAACUGUGAUUUAUAUUAAGCAACCAUUGUCAUAUGUCGCUCGCUGCAAGCAUUAUGUUCUAUGACAUAAAUACAAAGGAAACUGUACAUAACUAUCAUAGAAAUUCAAAUACAUGCUGAUGUAUGAGUUUGUGUGUGACAGUCGAUGAAACAUUACUAUACUCUUAAAACAAAACAGAAAACAACACUGUUUAUCCGAUCGCGUACCGCUUUAACAAAGAAUAGCAACAACACAUACCACAUCACAUAGCUACUCACAUUAAAGGAAGAGAAACUAAAUUUCCAAACGAUGUAAAAAAACAAAGAGUAAGGAGUAAAAAUAGUUUCAUAAACGUACCUUUGAACGCUAGCGACACGUAACUCACCAACAACAACCCAGAAGCAAGCAAGCACAACAUACGAGCAUAAAGGAGCAACAAUCGUUAAUGCAAUAUGAUAUUUAUAAUGCAUCUUAAUGGUAGCUCCAAAUUGGUAGCUAUGGUUCAUUUUAAUGCGUAACAUAUUCUUCUCUCGAUGUAAGUGAACGUGAAGCGCAAAACAAUUCGUGGGAAACAAAAAUAAUAACUGAAGAAGAAGAAGAAAACAAGCAAACUUAAAUACAUUAAACUGUAACACUAUAAACGAAUAAGUAUUGUAACAUCCAAAAAUAUCAAACGAAAAAGAGGUGAAAGAAGAGUUGGAAAUGCAAAUGGAUAAAGUAUAUUUGUACAAGCAAGCAAGUUAAGGUGAGCAGCAAACAGACUAGAGAGCAAAUUCGAACAAAGAUGCUCAUGGAAUGCGAGGGCACAUUCGAUAGGAAACAACAACCAAACAAACAAACAAAAAACCCAUAAACAAUAAACACAAAGCAAAAGUAAUAUUUAACACACUCAUCGCUAAUAAUAUGCAUUUGAUAAACGAUAAAGGAUACAAGUUGUAAACAUUUUUUUGUAUUGCGUUACCUAGAAAUUGAUAUAUCGGUAUGUAAAGGGAAGGAACUGGAUAAGACAAAACAAUCUAGAAAGAGUGUCUUGCAAAAGGGAAAGAGUGUUUAGCAUAUGUGGAACAAAUAGAACAAAUGUAAAUAAAGAGUAAGCACAAACGAGCAGCUGAGACAAGCUUGUGGGGGGAAACGGAAGACAGAGAUGAGUAAAGUACACAAUCCAUACAAAAAAAAAAUAACACGCACACUAGCUAAACGUGUUUUUGUGUUCUUGGUUUUUCCGUAUUCGGUUUUACUUCUAGAAAAGUAAAAUAAGACAAAAAACGUUUUUAAACAAAAGUGUUACAAAAUGAUAUCAGCUUGCUAAAUAAAACAAAACAAAACAACUAUUUAAACCUUAAUUCGCUAAUCGUAAAACAUUUAAAUCAACAGAGUUACAAAAUGCGAAUAAAAAUCGAAGCAUCGAGCAAGGACCGGGGACAAACUAGAAUAUGCAAUAAGAGGAAAGGGGGAACAGAGGGUAUUCGGUGGUUUCUCGGAGGAUGAGAAAAAACAGAAAAAAAUGCACAAAUAAAUCGAAUGUAUCACAACCUAUUCAGCAACAAGACCCAAAAACAAAAGGCCGAGGUCCAAAAGUAACAAAUGAAAGAAAGCAAAGGAAGCAGAAAAAACAAGAAAACGAACAAAAUGAAUAAAUAUUUUAAAAAGCAUUAAACAACUCACAACUGCAGAAUGAAAAAUGCUACAAAAGAAGGUAAAUAGGAACAUACUGACAAGAAAUUAAAAAUCCGUUGUACAACCCACAAAACCACUAACAAGGAAAAACUGAUACCCGAAAAAGAAAAA